rnacentral:tRNA from 1 species
GGGGAUAUAGUUCAGUUGGUAGAGUGUUUACCUAGCAUGCACAAAGCCCUGGGUUCAAUCCCCAGCACCACCC